GUGGGGAAUUUUGGACAAUGGGCGCAAGCCUGAUCCAGCAAUGCCGCGUGCAGGAAGAAGGCCUUCGGGUUGUAAACUGCUUUUGUACGGAACGAAACGGUCCGGGUUAAUACCCUGGGCUAAUGACGGUACCGUAAGAAUAAGCACCGGCUAACUACGUGCCAGCAGCCGCGGUAAUACGUAGGGUGCAAGCGUUAAUCGGAAUUACUGGGCGUAAAGCGUGCGCAGGCGGUUUUGUAAGACAGGCGUGAAAUCCCCGGGCUCAACCUGGGAAUUGCGGUUGUGACUGCAAGGCUGGAGUGCGGGCGAGGGGGAUGGAAUUCCGCGUGUAGCAGUGAAAUGCGUAGAUAUGCGGAGGAACACCGAUGGCGAAGGCAAUCCCCUGGGCCUGCACUGACGCUCAUGCACGAAAGCGUGGGGAGCAAACAGGAUUAGAAACCCCAGUAGUCC
rnacentral:rRNA from 1 species